GCCGACGUAGCUCAGCAGGUAGAGCAGCUCACUCGUAAUGAGCAGGUCAGCGGUUCGACUCCGCUCGUCGGCUCCA
rnacentral:tRNA from 1 species